GCCGGUGUGGCGAAAUGGCAAACGCAGUUGACUCAAAAUCAGCCGAGCUUAGGCUCUUGUCGGUUCAAGUCCGACCACCGGCA
rnacentral:tRNA from 1 species